rnacentral:rRNA from 1 species
AUUUUAUAUGAGAGUUUGAUCCUGGCUCAGGACGAACGCUGGCGGCGUGCCUAAUACAUGCAAGUCGAACGCACGAAGUUGAAGAGCUUGCUCUUUAACCAAGUGAGUGGCGGACGGGUGAGUAACACGUGGGUAACCUGCCCAUUAGAGGGGGAUAACAUUCGGCAACGGAUGAUAAUACCGCAUAGUUUCAGGAAUCGAAUGACUCUUGAA